rnacentral:rRNA from 1 species
GGGUAUCCUCCCACCCUUUGUUUAUUAUACCUUUGUUGCUUUGGCGGGCCCGUCCUCGGACCACCGGCUUCGGCUGGUCAGUGCCCGCCAGAGGACCUAAAACUCUGUUUGUUCAUAUUGUCUGAGUACUAUAUAAUAGUUAAAACUUUCAACAACGGAUCUCUUGGUUCUGGCAUCGAUGAAGAACGCAGCGAAAUGCGAUAAGUAAUGUGAAUUGCAGAAUUCAGUGAAUCAUCGAAUCUUUGAACGCACAUUGCGCCCCCUGGUAUUCCGGGGGGCAUGCCUGUUCGAGCGUCAUUACAACCCUCAAGCUCUGCUUGGUAUUGGGCUCUGCCGGUCCCGGCAGGCCUUAAAAUCAGUGGCGGUGCCAUUCGGCUUCAAGCGUAGUAAUUCUUCUCGCUUUGGAGACCCGGGUGCGUGCUUGCCAGCAACCCCCAAUUUUUUCAGGUUGACCUCGGAUCAGGUAGGGAUACCCGCUGAACUUAAGCAUAUCAAUAAGCGGGGGA